rnacentral:rRNA from 1 species
GACGAACGCUGGCGGCGUGCCUAAUACAUGCAAGUAGAACGCUGAAGAGAGGAGCUUGCUCUUCUUGGAUGAGUUGCGAACGGGUGAGUAACGCGUAGGUAACCUGCCUUGUAGCGGGGGAUAACUAUUGGAAACGAUAGCUAAUACCGCAUAACAAUGGAUGACACAUGUCAUUUAUUUGAAAGGGGCAAUUGCUCCACUACAAGAUGGACCUGCGUUGUAUUAGCUAGUAGGUGAGGUAAUGGCUCACCUAGGCGACGAUACAUAGCCGACCUGAGAGGGUGAUCGGCCACACUGGGACUGAGACACGGCCCAGACGCCUACAGGAGGCAGCAGUAGGGAAUCUUCGGCAAUGGGGGCAACCCUGACCGAGCAACGCCGCGUGAGUGAAGAAGGUUUUCGGAUCGUAAAGCUCUGUUGUAAGUCAAGAACGGGUGUGAGAGUGGAAAGUUCACACUGUGACGGUAGCUUACCAGAAAGGGACGGCUAACUACGUG